rnacentral:rRNA from 1 species
UCCUACAGGACGCAGCAGUGAGGAAUAUUGGUCAAUGGGCGGGAGCCUGAACCAGCCAAGUCGCGUGAAGGAAGAAGGUACUUAGUAUUGUAAACUUCUUUUGUCGGGGAACAAAGGCGGAGACGCGUCUCCGGAUGAGUGUACCCGAAGAAAAAGCAUCGGCUAACUCCGUGCCAGCAGCCGCGGUAAUACGGAGGAUGCGAGCGUUAUCCGGAUUUAUUGGGUUUAAAGGGUGCGCAGGCGGAGGCACAAGUCAGCGGUAAAAUCGCGGGGCUCAACCCCGCUCCGCCGUUGAAACUGUGUCC